rnacentral:rRNA from 1 species
GAGUUUGAUCGUGGCUCAGGACGAACGCUGGCGGCGCGCCUAACACAUGCAAGUCGAACGGAGCUUAGAGAGCUUGCUUUUUAAGCUUAGUGGCGAACGGGUGAGUAACGCGUGAGUAACCUGCCCUAGAGUGGGGGACAACAGUUGGAAACGACUGCUAAUACCGCAUAAGCCCACGGUGCCGCAUGACACUGAGGGAAAAGGAUUUAUUCGCUUUAGGAUGGACUCGCGUCCAAUUAGCUAGUUGGUGAGGUAACGGCCCACCAAGGCGACGAUUGGUAGCCGGACUGAGAGGUUGAACGGCCACAUUGGGACUGAGACACGGCCCAGACUCCUACGGGAGGCAGCAGUGGGGGAUAUUGCACAAUGGGGGAAACCCUGAUGCAGCGACGCCGCGUGGAGGAAGAAGGUUUUCGGA